AUACUUACCUGGCAGAGGAGAGACCAUGAUUACGAAGGUGGUUUUCCCAGGAUGAGGCUUAUCCAUUGCAUGCCGGAUGUGCUGACCCCUGCGAUUUCCCCAAAUGUGGGAAACUCGACCACAUAAUUCUCCCCUGAAAAAAUUUUUUACAAAAAUUC
rnacentral:snRNA from 1 species